AAUCCAAUUUCAAAAUUCAUCACUUGAGAAUACGUGAUAUAACAGACGUUUUCUUCAACUCAUCCUACUGUCUUCUCAUCCUUAACAGUACACGUUUUCUUCCGACUCCAUAGGGGGAGCCUCUGCAAUCAUUCCCUUCUUCCUCUUUCAAGCUUCUGGACUUCACACAAGACUAGACUACGACGCCAGCAUCCCCUCUUUUUCUUUCGUGCUCAGGAUUCAAGCCUUCUCCUCCUGUGGGUUGAAUUCAAGACCCAAGAUUGCUCAAGCAGAAUUUCGCAGAUUCAGUGAAGUUGGAAUCCACGCAGAAUUUGCAGUGGCCUUUGAACUUCGCGCGGGGUUCAAGACUCAAGGUUCGGUGCUUUACGACGUACUCUGCAAUGCUCUUAUUGUUGGCUGGGCGCCUUUCUCCAAAACUGAGCCACAACCAGAUUUUGUUCCAAUGAAAGUAGAAACCCAAGAGAAUUUCAAGGUGUUGCAGGAAAGUGUUGCUGCUCCAUCAAGUUUGAUUGAUCAAGCCCAGGGCUUAGAUGCCAUGGAACUUUGCUCUUUGCUUGAAUUCUUGUUUAGUUGAAUUCUUUGUUUGUUUAAAUUCUUGGAUAAAGAGGCGUUUAUAUCACAACAUUUGAAAUUAUUAUUGAAUACUGAUCUUAAAAUGCUCAUUGAAAUGAAAAGGAUAAUUAAAUCUCAACCAAUCAUUGGGUCAACCUAAAAAUAACAAAGAAGUGCAGUUAAAAAAAUGGAAAGAAGGAAGCCGGGCAGGGGGGAGGGGAGGGGGGAUGGUGGGGUGUGGGGGUGGAGGAAAAGGAGAGAAAGGGAGAGAGUUCAUUGUCAA
rnacentral:misc_RNA from 1 species